rnacentral:rRNA from 1 species
AUACGGAGGGUGCAAGCGUUAAUCGGAAUUACUGGGCGUAAAGCGCGCGUAGGCGGUUUAUUAAGUCGGAUGUGAAAGCCCUGGGCUCAACCUGGGAACUGCAUUCGAUACUGGUAAACUAGAGUAUAGUAGAGGCAAGUGGAAUUUCAGGUGUAGCGGUGAAAUGCGUAGAUAUCUGAAGGAACAUCAGUGGCGAAGGCGACUUGCUGGACUAAUACUGACGCUGAGGUGCGAAAGCGUGGGGAGCAAACGGGAUUAGAAACCCCAGUAGUCC